GGCCUCGCUUCACCGGCUCGCUCCUGGGCUCUGAGGUUCGGAACAGAGCGCUGUCGCUCGUCUGAGCAGAAGAGGAGUUCGGAAUGCCGCAGCUCCGACAGGAACGGCGUCCGGGAGGAUGCCAAGCUGACAUUCGGCGACAGACAUUUGGCUCUUCCUCCUCCGUCUCUCGCGGUGACCCUCGGAGCACACAGUGCUGGGUGAACACUCACGGGAGAGGGGACGCCGGAGGGGAACUGAGGGAUGCUUGUGAACCGGGAGCUUCCCGGGGACCGUGGGACCGGGGACCCAAUUGACAGCCAUGCACGGCUGCGGGCCCCGCCCUGUAAGAUGGCGGCCGCCUCCACGGAGGGCCUGGAGCGGUCAGGCAGGAGUGAGGGGGAUCAGGCAGGACGGUUAGCGAGGACGGGGACAGACCGGGCGGGCACCAGGACCAGGGCGGCUGGUCUGGGAUGACGGAGACCGACCGACCGGGGGAGCACCGGGACCAGGGCAGCGGGUCCGGGAUGACGGAGACCGACCGACCGGGGGAGCACCGGGACCAGGGCAGCGGGUCCGGGAUGACGGAGACCGACCGACCGGGGGAGCACCGGGACCAGGGCGGCGGGUCCGGGAUGACCAGGACCCGGCAGGCACUCAGGCGCCAGCUCUGGUUCCCAGUCCGCUAGGAAGAAAUGCGGGGACUCGAGAGAGCGACGCCCAAGCGAACGGCUAGAUAAACAAGAAAAAGCCCGGCAGCUUUACUAACUACAUAAGUAAACAUUUCUUAGAGGAAAGAACAAUAUGUGGGAAAUAUUGCUAUUAUCUCCCGGCGCUGUUCCUUCGUCCGGAUUGUGGCCCGUACGUAUACCAGUGCACAGAUCACACACAGAAAGCAUCCUAAAUGAAGGGCAAAUGCCUAAACAGCGUUAACAAUUGUACUUUUUAAAUGCGCAUGUGCAUAUGUGCUAACGCACAUGGUUUUGGAUGUUUUGAAAGUCCUGAUAAAUACAUACUCAUAAACUGAGAUGCUCUUACCAUCUUAAAAUCUACUAAAAUGAUAUCUUUGGAUCUACUAAAUGUUUCAUAAAACCUUAAAAUGUUGUUUACAUAAAACAUUCUCUGGGGGCAUACGGUUUUAAAACGUGAUCAAACUACGAAAUUUAACAUUAGAUACAGAUACAUAGAUUUUUUAGUAAUGAUUUCCUUCCUAAGCAAAUUGUUAAUAUUCUGGACAAUACUAACAAUGACUUUGGGUGGCUCACAGUCAUCUGUAACUCCAGUUCUAGGAAAUCUGAUGCCCUCUUCUGGCCUCUGUGGGUUGCUAUGGGAUUUCUUUUUCAGGACUUAAUAAAUAAAUAAUAAUAAAUUAUUAUUAUUAUUAUAUGCAUUAGGCCUUUUACACAAUCUUUCCUGACUUUUACAAACCAGAUACAGCUGCAUGAUGGUAUUAGCACUUGAGCUUCCUUCCUUUGGCCACACCUCUCUAUUACUAAAUUUAAAUUUAUAAAUUUAUAUUAAAGUCAAAAGUAGUGUCACUUCUUUUUUUUUUUUUUAGGAUUUAUUGGAUUCUCAGAAUCAAACUUUUUUCUUUUCUCUCUCUCUUUCUCUCUUCCUCUUUCUUUCUUUCUUUCUUUCUUUCUUUCUUUCUUUCUUUCUUUCUUUCUUUCUUUCUUUCUUCCUUUCAGCAGGUUCUACAUAGCCUUGGCUAUCCUGGAACUCACUAUACAGACCAGGCUGGCUUCAAACUCAUAGCAAUCCACCUGCCUCUGCCUCCUGAGUGCAGAGAUUGAAGAUGUGAGCCACCAUGUCUGGCUAACUUUAAUUUUAGAAGCUGUACCAUAGCAUGUCGUCCAAGAGACAGCAAGAAAAGAAAUAAGAAUCAGGGUCUCUGGGGUGGAGAGAGGUGUCCCUUUCAUCCACUCUGUCAGUCUUCAAAGAGACCAAUCAGGUUAGACUGUCUGUCCUUCCUGUCUCUCUAACCCACACAUCCUCAGGCAAGCCUCAGUGUAGACACAGAGAUCACACGCAGACACUGGCUUUAGUCCCCAGCUCCUCUGCCCUCACUCCUUCACUGGCUGGAGUUUAAAACAAUUGCCAACCUUGUCACUCUCCUAGUAACAGCCCGACCAUGAGCAUCUCUGAAGUUAUUUCUUUUACCUUAGUGAAAAGGGGGUUUCUUGCCUAAGACACUUGAAAAAAUUCAUAGUAAACAACCAAGAAAACCUGGGGCCAGUGCUAAGAGCAGGUGCUGCUCUUCCAGAGAACCUGGAUUCAGUUCCCAACACCUGCCUUAAAGUGGCCAGCAUGGUCCUGAAAUUCCAGUUCCAGGGGAUCUGUCGCCCUCUUCUGGUGUACUUGGGUACUGCAUGCACCUGGUCCAAAUACAAAGACUCAAGAUGUGUCCCUCCUGUCCCUGUCCCUGUCCCCUUGCACUCCUCUCUCUCCCUCCAUAUCUCUCUCUCUCUCUCUCUCUCUCUCUCUGUCUCUCUCUCUCUCUCUCAUAAGUAAAUAUAUUUUUACAACACCUCAAAAAUUCAUGUACUAGAUUCAGAAAAGAGGCUCACUUAUAUGAAUGAAUGGAUUUUUUGUUAUGUUUUCAUUUUUGUUUUUUGUUUUACAUUUCCAUUCAGGUUAAAAGUGCAGUGAGAAAGGCUGCUUUCUUUGUUUCUAAUGCUCAAGGCAAUAAUUUCUUUCCUAGAAAACUAUCGCCAUGCACUUGGAAUGGGAUUGUCUACACUAAAUGAAUAAGGAGAAACGGAGAACAGCUAGGGAGGAUACAAUGCACCAGAAGUAAACAUAUAUGUUGGCAGAAAAGUGGGGAGACGGGAGGGAGCACUGUGAGCCUGCAGGUGACAGCACUCACAGAGAUGGUGAGCCAGGAGCUGCACCUGAGUUCUUGUCACCCUCUUGUGUGCAUGGGAAGGGAUAGAGAUGAGAGCAAGCCAUGAAUGAAGAUGGCGUGGGGAAAUCUGUGGGAGUGGUACUCUGGGGACCCAGCAGCCCUGGGUCCUCGAGGAACCCAAGUGAAGUAGAAUCCAAUGGAGAGAGGCAGAUGAACAGCCCGGAUCAGGCUGACAGAUGUUUUAGAUGUUUCUGUCCCAGUUUUUAUUUUUUCCCUCUAGAGAAUGUGUACUAAUGAAGCAGUAAGAGGGCUGAAGAUCUCUGGCUCUGUGAGUUAGGACCAGGGUUCAAUUUCCCACACCCCACAUGGCAGCUCACAACUGGCUGUAACUCCAGUUCUGAGGCAUUAACUUCCUCCUCUUGCCUCUGCAAGCACCAGGCACACACAUCCUGACCCACUAAGCAACACCCGGUCUCCCCGCUAACUGCACUCUGGACUUUUCCAGCAGCAGCUCCUGGGCUUUUGAGUGUUUCGGAGGACCGAUGCGUGUGGAGCCGCACGGGUGGAGAAGCAGACAGCUGUGAGGCACACCUGGCCAGAUGUGCGCCAGCUGGCGGGAGUGGGCAUGGCUUAGCUGCUCCUCCAUGCGAUGACUGCUUGGAUGUUGAGUAGUAGAUUGACAGCUGGAGCCUGUGCACUUGUACCCACAGCAAGCUCUCCCCUGGAGGAAGAUGUGAGGAGCACACCUAGGACGGCCUCAGCAUCUACUGUGUGGUCCAUUUUCAGGUUUUUCCCCUCUGUGUUUUUUGUUUUGUUUUGUUUUGUUUGCUUGUUUGCCCAUCCCACUGGUCCUUGGGAAGUGGCAACCUCAACCGUGAGUUAAUGCCAGGGUUUACACAUGCUAGGCAAGCUCUCUCCCAACCGAGCCUUAUCCGCCACCCAUAACAAGAGGAAAAUCAAACAGCACAAACUAAUCGUUCUGUCUUUCCUCUCAGUCCUCCCUGCUUUGCAAGAUCCUGUGGUCUGGGCUUCUGUUUUUCUGAUGAUGUUGGUCCGUGUAGCCCCGUGUAGAUCUAAGUAAGUGGCUUUGGAAGGUUCAUAUCUCUUUUAGGACCAUGUGUUGCAAUCCCUAAUCUGUGGCAGUACUGAGAAAUGACGUAAUCUUUAGGCCAUGGGACCUAGCAGAAGGAAGUUAGAUCAUUGGCACCUGCCUAUGAAAGGUGUGCCCUUCCCCCAGCCUUGAGUUGGCCUAACAAGUCUCCAAGGCUGGAGCCUUUCUGUCUUCCCGCCUGAGCCUUGAGGAGCUGGCCGCCCACUGAGCUUACUUUGCAGCUCAAUCCGGCUGAAGCAAGCAACAGAACCCAGCCAAAACAAGGGGAUGUGUCCUUGGGUUUUCCUAUAUAUAUUCAGAGCUGAAUAUUAAAAUUUGAACCUUGAUCAGAGAA
rnacentral:lncRNA from 1 species